rnacentral:rRNA from 1 species
GACGAACGCUGGCGGCGUGCUUAACACAUGCAAGUCGAGCGGAGCGGCGAACGGGUGAGUAACGCGUGAGUAACUGCCCCCCUCUCUGGGAUAACAGUUGGAAACGGCUGCUACUCCCGGAUCGUUGGGGAUGACUCGCGUCCUAUCAGCUUGUUGGUGGGGUAUGGGCAUACCAAGGAGACGACGGGUAGCCGGCCUGAGAGGGCGACCGGCCACAGUGGGCGGAGAUACGGCCCAAACUCCUACGGGAGGCAGCAGUGGGGAAUAGUGCACAAUGUGGGAAACUCUGAUGCAGCAACGCCGCGUGCGUGAUGACGGCCUUCGGGUUGUAAACCGCUUUCAGCCAUGACGCGGUAGUGGCAGAAGAAGCACCGGCUAACUACGUGCCAGCAGCCGCGGUAAUAC